GGUUGCCAGGGUGUUGCUAUGCAGUUGCUAAGGUGAUAUGAAUGGUUUCACAUGUUGCAUUAUGGCUGUUGUGACUGGUUGCCAGGGCAUUGUUUUGCAGCCACUAAGUGUCUAGGGUGUUGAGGUUGGUUGCCAAGGCGUUGCAGUAGAGUUGUGUGAAAAUUGUUCACCUUAUGACUUACAACAGUAAUAUCACACGUCUCCUCAACAAGACACAUGAUCUGAGGAUUCAUUCAUUGUUAACAGAGGAAAGACACAGCUGUCUUCAGACCACACAACGGCCCGCCAAUCGAUAUCACAACAUGUUUUCUUCAUGCCUGACAGCAGGAUUCUUGAGAUAAAGCCAUAGGUCAGACGUCCAUAUAGGAUACGUGAUGCUCACUCAGCAAGACUGGAGGAGAAAAAGUUCACCAGGCAGAUGCAUGACUGAAGAAUAUGGACAUUUAUCAUGCAAUUCCUGUAGAGAAAUAAAAACAGACA
ensembl:lncRNA